rnacentral:rRNA from 1 species
GAUGAACGCUGGCGGCGUGCCUAAUACAUGCAAGUCGAGCGAACGGACGAGAAGCUUGCUUCUCUGAUGUUAGCGGCGGACGGGUGAGUAACACGUGGAUAACCUACCUAUAAGACUGGGAUAACUUCGGGAAACCGGAGCUAAUACCGGAUAAUAUUUUGAACCGCAUGGUUCAAACGUGAAAGACGGUCUUGCUGUCACUUAUAGAUGGAUCCGCGCUGCAUUAGCUAGUUGGUAAGGUAACGGCUUACCAAGGCAACGAUGCAUAGCCGACCUGAGAGGGUGAUCGGCCAGACUGGAACUGAGACACGGUCCAGACUCCUACGGGAGGCAGCAGUAGGGAAUCUUCCGGAAUGGGCGAAAGCCUGACGGAGCAACGCCGCGUGAGUGAUGAAGGUCUUCGGAUCGUAAAACUCUGUUAUUAGGGAAGAACAUAUGUGUAAGUAACUGUGCACAUCUUGACGGUACCUAAUCAGAAAGCCACGGCUAACUACGUG